rnacentral:snoRNA from 1 species
GCAGAUGAUGAAAGUUACCCCCACUGAUCCAUGAUGAUGCACGGGUGCUGAUGC